UAGGGAAUCUUCCGCAAUGGACGCAAGUCUGACGGAGCAACGCCGCGUGAGUGAAGAAGGAUUUCGGUUCGUAAAACUCUGUUGUUAGAGAAGAACAGCGCAUAGAGUAACUGUUAUGCGUGUGACGGUAUCUAACCAGAAAGCCACGGCUAACUACGUGCCAGCAGCCGCGGUAAUACGUAGGUGGCAAGCGUUGUCCGGAUUUAUUGGGCGUAAAGCGAGCGCAGGCGGUCAAUUAAGUCUGAUGUGAAAGCCCCCGGCUCAACCGGGGAGGGUCAUUGGAACCUGGUGGACUUGAGUGCAGAAAAGGAGAGUGGAAUUCCAUGUGUAGCGGUAAAAUGCGUGGAUAUAUGGAGGAAAACCAGUGGCGAAGGAGACUCUUAGGUCUGUAACUGACGCUAAGGCUCGAAAGCGUGGGUAGCAAACAGG
rnacentral:rRNA from 1 species